GUGUCAGCAGCCGCGGUAACACGUAGGGCGCAAGCGUUGUCCGGAAUUAUUGGGCGUAAAGAGCUCGUAGGCGGCCUGUCGCGUCCGCUGUGAAAACCCGGGGCUUAACCCCGGGCCUGCAGUGGAUACGGGCAGGCUAGAGGCAGGUAGGGGAGAAUGGAAUUCCCGGUGUAGCGGUGAAAUGCGCAGAUAUCGGGAGGAACACCGGUGGCGAAGGCGGUUCUCUGGGCCUGACCUGACGCUGAGGAGCGAAAGCGUGGGGAGCGAACAGGAUUAGAUACCCCCGUAGUCC
rnacentral:rRNA from 1 species